rnacentral:rRNA from 1 species
GUAUGAAGAAGGCCUUAGGGUUGUAAAGUACUUUCGGUGAUGAGGAAGUUAUGUGUGGGAUAAGCACAUAUAAUUGACGUUAGUUACAGAAGAAGCACCGGCUAACUCCGUGCCAGCAGCCGCGGUAAUACGGAGGGUGCGAGCGUUAAUCGGAAUGACUGGGCGUAAAGGGCAUGUAGGCGGAUGAUUAAGUUAGGUGUGAAAGCCUCGGGCUCAACCUGAGAAUAGCAUUUAAAACUGGUGAUCUGGAGUACUGUAGAGGGAGGUAGAAUUCCACGUGUAGCGGUGAAAUGCGUAGAGAUGUGGAGGAAUACCGGUGGCGAAGGCGGCCUUCUGGACAGAUACUGACGCUGAGAUGCGAAAGCGUGGGGAGCAAACAGGAUUAGAUACCCUGGUAGUCCACGCUGUAAACGAUGUCGAUUUGGAGUUUGUUGCCUAGAGUGAUGGGCUCCGAAGCUAACGCGAUAAAUCGACCGCCUGGGGAGUACGGCCGCAAGGUUAAAACUCAAAUGAAUUGACGGGGGCCCGCACAAGCGGUGGAGCAUGUGGUUUAAUUCGAUGCAACGCGAAGAACCUUACCUGGUCUUGACAUCCACAGAAUCUUUCAGAGAUGAGGGAGUGCCUUCGGGAACUGUGAGACAGGUGCUGCAUGGCUGUCGUCAGCUCGUGUUGUGAAAUGUUGGGUUAAGUCCCGCAACGAGCGCAACCCUUAUCCUUUGUUGCCAGCGAUUAGGUCGGGAACUCAAAGGAGACUGCCGUUGAUAAAACGGAGGAAGGUGGGGACGACGUCAAGUCAUCAUGGCCCUUACGACCAGGGCUACACACGUGCUACAAUGGCGUAUACAAAGGGAAGCGAAGGUGCGAGCUGGAGCGGACCUCCUAAAGUACGUCUAAGUCCGGAUUGGAGUCUGCAACUCGACUCCAUGAAGUCGGAAUCGCUAGUAAUCGUGAAUCAGAAUGUCACGGUGAAUACGUUCCCGGGCCUUGUACACACCGCCCGUCACACCAUGGGAGUGGGUUGCACCAGAAGUAGAUAGCU